GCAGCACCUGAGUUCUUCAGCAGCAGCUGGCUCCUCUCUGGAAAAGCUCCCCUGACAACUGUGGAUUCUUCCCAUGAUUUUACAGCUGCAGGAGGAGGAAGAAAAGCAUCUUCAGUCUGAGCAUUGUGUUCCUGACUUGAAGACUGCCUUGGAUGCCAAGAAAAGAGAGGCAAUAACUUCCUCCCAGGAACUGCAGGACCUCCUGGAAGAAGACGCGCAACACUUUGCAAGUGAGAACAGCAGAUUGGAAGGCACUGUCCAGCAGCCAAGCGAGAGCGUUGAAGCCCUUCCGAGAGCCCUGCAAGCCUCUGCCUCAGGUGGUGAACUUUCCCAGCAGCUGGACAUGGAGCCUGGAACAGGCAUGCAGCUCGAGGC